GAACCUGCAAACAAAAUUAUAGAGUUAUAGGUUAUAAGGCUUAGAUGGCGUAUGGGUGGAUUUAUUACUUCUACACGUUCCUUAAACAGCUGAUUAGAAAAUGGUUAUGAAAACAGUACACUAUACUUAGGAAACAUGAAGAAUAAGGAAAUUAAAUAGAUGACAGAUGAGGAUACUGUGCAUGAUAAAAAAAUCACAUAAAAUCGGUUCAAUUUAAUAGAACGUGGAAAAUGUAUACGACGACGUCGUUUUUGAGGGAGAAAAAACUCUGGCCAUAUAAAUGUAGCAUGAUGUUUUUGUAAAAAUGAUUGAUCAAUAAACGAAAAUCAUGAGGAAAAA